AGCUGAUUGGCGGGAUCCC
rnacentral:snRNA from 1 species